rnacentral:rRNA from 1 species
CUUUGUCUUUAUGGCAAAUGUGAGAUGCAGUGUAUGGAAUGUCAAAUUUCUAGUAUGAGAAAUUAACGAUUUAAGUCCUUCUUAAAUGAGGCCAUUUACCCAUAGAGGGUGCCAGGCCCGUAUAACGUUAAUGAUUACUAGAUGGCAUUUCCAAAGAGUCGUGUUGCUUGAUAGUGCAGCACUAAGUGGGUGGUAAACUCCAUCUAAAACUAAAUAUAACCAUGAGACCGAUAGUAAACAAGUACCGUGAGGGAAAGUUGAAAAGAACUCUGAAUAGAGAGUUAAAUAGUACGUGAAACUGCUUAGAGGUUAAGCCCGAUGAACCUGAAUAUCCAUUAUAGAAAAUUCAUCAUUAUGAUUUUAAUAUUAAUAAUAUUAUAAUAAUGGUGUGCAUUUUUUCUAUAACGGACAUUGUAAUCUAUUAACAUAAAUAUAUUUAUCAUAAGAUCAAUGAUGCGUAAGUUUAUUUAAAUUAUUUUGCUUGCAAUUUAACAUAGAAUAAAUGCUCUUGAUUUGAUAAAGUGUUGAUAGAUUUAUUGUAUAUAGUGCUUAAAUAUUUAUAUUUUAUAAUAGCAUAUUAAUCAUUGAUUUUUAUGUUUAUUAUAUGCACUUAUAUGAUUAACAAUGCGAAAGAUUCAGGAUACCUUCGGGACCCGUCUUGAAACACGGACCAAGGAGUCUAACAUAUUUGCAAGUUAUUGGGUAUCAAAACCUAAUAGCGAAAUUAACAUAACUUUAAUGGGAUUAGUUUUUAGAUUAUUUUUAUAGUCUAUUAAUUCAAUCCCGGGGCGUUCUAUAUAGUUAUGUAUAAUAAUAUUUAUAUUAUUUAUACCUCUAACUAGAGCGUACCUUGAGCAUAUAUGCUGUGACCCGAAAGAUGGUGAACUAUACUUGAUCAGGUUGAAGUCAGGGGAAACCCUGAUGGAAGACCGAAACAGUUCUGACGUGCAAAU